rnacentral:rRNA from 1 species
ACGGCUGAACCAGCAACUUGGGGGAAUGUAUAGCUUCGGCUAGUUAUCUUUGGCUGUUUAAUUAAUUAUAUACAAGGCUUCUGGCUUUGUAUAUAAGAGAUUAUUCACUUUUUGAUUCUUUUGACGCCGAUGUUUUCAAAAUUAAUUUACCACUCACCGUAAGGUGCACUAAGUAAGACUUAAGUGGACAAAGUAACAUCGAUUUUAUCGAAUAAAGUUCUAGAUAGGAUACUGAUCAUGACAAUUUCCUGUCUAUAUGUCUUGACCAAAUUACGUGCCAGCAGUCGCGGUAAUACGUAGAAGACUAGUGUUAUUCAUCUUUAGUAGGUUUAAAGGGUACCUAGACGGUAUAAUUAGUCUUUAAUAGGAAACGGUUAUACUAGAGUUAUAUAUGAGGAGGUGAGUAUUUGUGGAGUAGAGUUGAAAUUCUUUGAUACCAUGAGGACUGGUAAAGGCGAAAGCAACCUUUUAUCUAAUAACUGACGUUGAGGGACGAAGGCUCGGGUAGCGAACAGGAUUAGAUACCCUAGUAGUCCAAGCAGAUAAUGAUGAAUGCCAUAGGUUAGAUAAUAUUUUAGUCUAUAAAUGAAAGUGUAAGCAUUUCACCUCAAGAGUAAUGCGGCAACGCAGGAACUGAAAUCAUUAGACCGUUUCUGAAACCAGUAGUGAAGUAUGUUAUUUAAUUCGUAAGUACGCGAAAAACCUUACCACAACUUGAAUAUUAUAUUAAGGAAGUCUUAUUUUAUAGUAAGAUAUCUUGAAUAUAUUACAAGCGUUGCACGGCUGUCUUCAGUUAAUGUCGUGAGAUAUUGGUUAAUUCCAUUAAAUUAACGGAAACCCUUGCUUUAUUUGCGAUUUAAUCUAAAUAAAGCAGUUCACCAUCACAUCGGAUA